GGGUGAUGUAGGCAACAUAGAGGUGAGUCUUGCUAUCCCAAUUCCCAACAUCACUGAUCAUAGUUUCUUAAAGCUUGCUGAUUACACUUGUAUAUUGAUUAUUCACUCCAUAGUAUUAGCAAUGUUGCAAUGUCUUCAUUCUUGCUAGAUGAAAAUUAUAAACUCUAUAAAUAUUGAUAUUCUGCAUCUGCAGGUCCACACAAACU
rnacentral:misc_RNA from 1 species